rnacentral:piRNA from 1 species
UGACUGGUGGCUCCGAAGAGAGCAGCGGA